UUUAUUGCAGUUACCAUAACUCCGAAAUAAUAAAUGUCAAAAUCAAAAUUAAGUCAAUGUCCCUUACGAUAUGUUAAAAAAAUCUAAAUUAAUACUCUUAUAGUUUUUUCUCCUGAAGAAGUCACAAAAGUGUGACGAAAUAUUGAGAAAUAACAAAUAGACUUUUAUUUCACAUGACCGAAUUGCUGAAACUUCAAACCACUAUAACACAGUACGGUCGAAAAUAUUUGUACA
rnacentral:lncRNA from 1 species